rnacentral:rRNA from 1 species
UACAGAGACCUCAAGCGUUAUCCGGAAUCAUUGGGCGUAAAGCGUACCGAUCGGUGGUUGACAAAGUCAGAAGGGAAAUUCCAAAGCUCAACUUUGGGACUGUCUUUUGAUACUUGUCAGCUCGAGGGGCAAAGAGGAAGCUGGAACGAACGGUGUAGUAGUGAAAUGCGUUGAUAUCGUUCGGAACACCAAUAGCGAAGGCAGGCUUCUGGGUGCCACCUGACACUGCUAGGACGAAAGCGUGGGGAGCGAAUGGG